UUCACCUUAACAUACACACAACAACAAAACCCUAAGACACAAGAGAACAACCAUCAGUCGUCACUCCAUAGAAACCAAACCAGCUACGCCGCCACGCCACCAAGCUCGCCGGACAUCCGGCAACAAUCUCCGGUAAUAAUCGCCACCCCAACUCCCUCUAAAAUCCUCUGUCGACCAGCCAAACAACCACCCAAAUAACCCCACCUUCAGCCGCGACCUGCUUCUUCACCUCACUCAAACGACCAUCACUCCACCAUUUCCGCCACCCAAACUCACCGAAAAAGGGACAGCAGCAGUCGCACCAUCUUCUUCAGCCAAAACAACUGCCACUGCCGCCAGUAGCAAAUCCUACGGACCAGCGACCUCCUAGUUCCCUCAUCUUCCAUUAACACACAUACUCAUACAAGAACACAAAAAAAAACAGAGGGUGAAGAUGAAUUUCAGACAAAUUUUGGAUAGAAAAGAAAUGGUGUUCUUUGAUCACUGAUUCGUUUUUUAUACUAGAAAAUUGAAAAAAUAAAAAGGUUUCAAUAGUCUUAUUUUGAUUUCCAUCUCCGGCUCGUUAUGGAACUUGUUUGAAUUUUGUUGGUCCGAGUUCCCUGUUCUUGUUCGAGAUCGGUCGCCAUUGAGAUUCCGUCCACGGUCCGUCAUAUUUUUGAAUGCAAAGCUCCCUCAUAAAUAAUUUUCCGAUUCAUUUGAGGUAUGGAUCAAUUUGUUAGAGUUUGAGCAUGACAAAUACCCCAGGAUCAUUCUAGUCAAGACCAUUGCAUGCACGAGCUGCUUGAGGAAACUUUUUAUUUUUAGUCUAUUUUAUGUUGUCUUUUAAUUAUUAGUCUUGUACAGUAGUAUUGAGUCUGUCAGUCUAGUUAAGAUUUUCGAGUCUUUUGUUAUAAUAUUUCCUGUUUUGUAUUUGAAAAAAAAAUUAUAAAUGAAAAAUUCAAAAAGAUUUGUUUUA